rnacentral:rRNA from 1 species
UACGGAGGGUACUAGCGUUGUUCGGAAUUACUGGGCGUAAAGCGCGCGUAGGCGGAUUUGCAAGUCGGGGGUGAAAUCCCGAGGCUCAACCUCGGAACUGCCUUCUAUACUGCAAAUCUCGAGUCCGGAAGAGGUGAGUGGAAUUCCUAGUGUAGAGGUGAAAUUCGUAGAUAUUAGGAGGAACACCAGUGGCGAAGGCGGCUCACUGGACUGGUACUGACGCUGAGGUGCGAAAGCGUGGGGAGCAAACAGG